rnacentral:rRNA from 1 species
UACGGAGGGGGCUAGCGUUGUUCGGAAUUACUGGGCGUAAAGCGUACGUAGGCGGCUUUGUAAGUUAGAGGUGAAAGCCCGGGGCUCAACCCCGGAAUUGCCUUAAAGACUGCAUCGCUUGAACGUCGGAGAGGUGAGUGGAAUUCCGAGUGUAGAGGUGAAAUUCGUAGAUAUUCGGAAGAACACCAGUGGCGAAGGCGGCUCACUGGACGACUGUUGACGCUGAGGUACGAAAGCGUGGGGAGCAAACAGG